rnacentral:rRNA from 1 species
CUUUGUGAGCAGAGAGUGCCUUUCGGGGAAUGUUAAGACAGGUGGUGCACGGUUGUCGUCAGCUCGUGUCGUGAGAUGUUGGGUUAAGUCCCGCAACGAGCGCAACCCACGUCGUUAGUUGGUUUUAUAGGUACACUUAUAAAGACCUCUCUAGCGAGACUGCCGGUGAUAAACCGGAGGAAGGUGUGGACGACGUCAAAUCAUCAUGCCCCUUAUGCUCUGGGCUACACACGUGUUACAAUGGGUAGGACAGCGAGCAGCGAGACAGCGAUGUUAAGCAAAUCUCUAAAACCUAUCCUCAGUUCGGAUUGCACUCUGCAACUCGAGUGCAUGAAGUCGGAAUCGCUAGUAAACGCAGAUCAGCACGCUGCGUUGAAUACGUUCCCGGGUCUUGUACACACCGA